UGUGUGUCCAGAGAAAAGUGACCAGGGAUAUGGCCUUAAAACAUGGCUGAUGACACCAUACGCAAACCCUGAAACCCCUCAAGACAUGAAUUGAUGCAGCGUCUUUAACGAUGAAGAGCCAGUUGAUUUUGGACAAGCUCGUCAGUCAGGACGUGGGCAUGCCGACGAGACUCCUGAGGUGUGCUUUGAGGUGCUGACUGUGGGGCUGGCACCUGAGAGUGAGAGGUCGACGGCACUGGUUCAUCCACUGCAUCGUCUGGGCCUACGAUUCAUAUUAAGUUGUUAAAUUGUUGCAAACGGAUUUGCCAUUUUCAUUUGAAUAAAAUGUUUUUUGGAUUGACUUGUGCCUGUUAAUUAGGAACACACAUAAUUGCAAAUAUAACAGUACAGUUACCUUGGGGUUCUCCUUGGAUGUCAUCACUUUCACCUUCAUUUCAUGGACAUAUUCCA